UGGGGAAUAUUGCACAAUGGGGGAAACCCUGAUGCAGCGACGCCGCGUGGAGGAAGAAGGUCUUCGGAUUGUAAACUCCUGUUGUUGAGGAAGAUAAUGACGGUACUCAACAAGGAAGUGACGGCUAACUACGUGCCAGCAGCCGCGGUAAAACGUAGGUCACAAGCGUUGUCCGGAAUUACUGGGUGUAAAGGGAGCGCAGGCGGGAAGACAAGUUGGAAGUGAAAUCCAUGGGCUCAACCCAUGAACUGCUUUCAAAACUGUUUUUCUUGAGUAGUGCAGAGGUAGGCGGAAUUCCCGGUGUAGCGGUGGAAUGCGUAGAUAUCGGGAGGAACACCAGUGGCGAAGGCGGCCUACUGGGCACCAACUGACGCUGAGGCUCGAAAGUGUGGGUAGCAAACAGGAUUAGAUACCCUGGUAGUCCACACUGUAAACGAUGAUUACUAGGUGUUGGAGGAUUGACCCCUUCAGUGCCGCAGUUAACACAAUAAGUAAUCCACCUGGGGAGUACGACCGCAAGGUUGAAACUCAAAGGAAUUGACGGGGGCCCGCACAAGCAGUGGAGUAUGUGGUUUAAUUCGACGCAACGCGAAGAACCUUACCAAGUCUUGACAUCCCUUGACGAUGCUGGAAACAGUAUUUCUCUUCGGAGCAAGGAGACAGGUGGUGCAUGGUUGUCGUCAGCUCGUGUCGUGAGAUGUUGGGUUAAGUCCCGCAACGAGCGCAACCCUUAUGGUCAGUUACUACGCAAGAGGACUCUGGCCAGACUGCCGUUGACAAAACGGAGGAAGGUGGGGAUGACGUCAAAUCAUCAUGCCCUUUAUGACUUGGGCUACACACGUACUACAAUGGCGUUAAACAAAGAGAAGCAAGACCGCGAGGUGGAGCAAAACUCAGAAACAACGUCCCAGUUCGGACUGCAGGCUGCAACUCGCCUGCACGAAGUCGGAAUUGCUAGUAAUCGCAGAUCAGCAUGCUGCGGUGAAUACGUUCCC
rnacentral:rRNA from 1 species